GUUUGAGUUUCUGUUUGCUGUAUUAAAAUAGUUAAGUUAGAAGGGACCUUCACUGUAGUUGGAAUUCUGCCUUUUGUUUGGAGUACAGAAUAGGAAGAAGGCCUGGCUUUCAUAAGACUGGUGGUGACAUUGAACUUAAAGUAGGAAGAUGGCUAAUGGAAGUGGCUAUGAAAGUGGAAGUGACAGCAGCUGAAGUGGAAGGGAAAACUGAAGAUUUAAAGUGCUGAAAAUCAUGUGGGCUGAAUUUUGCUCCUUUGUUCAUGACUCAUAUGCCUCCACACCCGUUUCAGCCCAAGAAAUGCAAGAGGGUGAGGAAGUGGGGGUUGCAGUCAGUCCACAACACUUCCUCUCUGCCAUACCUUCUUCCUCACGCUUUUCCAAUGCUCUAGUGUUGGGUCCCUCAUAUGGGUUACAGUCCAGUCCUGCUGCCUGUGUCGGCUUUCCACAGGCUAAAGCUUCCUUCAGGGCACUUCUACCUGCGCUGCUGUGUGGUCCUCCACAGGCUGCAGUGUGGAUAUCUUCUGACAAUGUUCUUCUGUGGGCUUCUGGGGAACCAUCAUGGCAGUCUCCAUGAGUUGCAGAGGGUGCCUGAAGAACCUACUAGCCCUCCUUCACUGACCUUGGUGUCUACAGGGUUGUUUCACUUUCCUUGCUCCUCUUUCUGCACUCCUUUUUCUCAGCUGCUGCCCAAAGUGUAUGAAAAAAAUAAAAUGGGUUCUUAGAUGUGUUAUUACAGUGAUGCCAUACCUGUGGCUGGUGGUCCAGUUGUGUCCUGUGCUUGUGAAUCUGUUUUGGAAGGAGCUGCCUGGAACUGACCCUGUCCAACAUCAGGGCAUCCCCUAAUCUCUUCUCACAGAAGCCGCCUCUGCAGACCUCUAGCUACCAAAAUCUUGCCACAUAAACCCACUGUACAACUUAAAAUAAUAUUAGAAGAUUUAGAUGGUACUUGAGUUGAAAGUCAGGAAUUUGAGUAACUGGAAGAUAAUUUGGAGAUUAAGGAAGUUAAUUAUGAAAAUGCUUAUUUUGCUUUAAGAGAGGAUUCAUUAAUUUUUAAUUACUUUGUCCUGCAUUGCAUAAUUCAAUUAGAUCCGUACUGGAACUUUGUGAACUGAAGAAAGAUUGUGGUUUUUGUGCUGUUUUUCCCCAAGUACAGGAUCCAAUUUCAAUAAAACUGGGAAGAAAAGUCACUUAUGUUAGGGAAGAGAAAAAUAUGCCAGAUUAAUAUAUAUAUCAGUAUGAAAAAUAACAUUAUCACCUUCUAGUAGCUUGAAAGGCAUAUUAAGCUAAAACACCCCACUAUAAAUAAAUGAAAUUUAACGAAACUUGGAGGUAGAUUAUGUAUACCUGAAACUUCUUGUUUUUCCUUCCUAUUUUCUUUUAUUUCUUCUAUUCUUUGUUCUCUCAGAGCACUAGUGGUAGUCACUCUACUGACAUUUUCACUACAAGGCUAGAAACUUUGUAUUGAUCACCAAAAUAUGAGACUAUAGAUUUUAUAAUUUUGGUUGUUUCUCAAGAAAUCGUUCACACUAAGGGGUUGAGUGACAGAAAGAGGGAAAUAAUGGUGUGUGUGUGUUACAAACAUGCAUAAUUAAUACUCUCUAGUAUUUGGUCAUCUAAAUAUAUGAAGAAUGGGGAUUUUCUUACCAAGUAAAAC